CAAUUUCAUGUUUUUUAAACCUACACUUGAUAAUUAAUUCUCAAAUCCUGAAGUAUUUCUUUGUGGUGCUACCACAAAAUUAAGGUACUUGAAAGCAAUGGAGUCAAACAUGAAGUCACAAAAUGAACUUUGCUUACAGUAUAUCCUCAAGAUAUUGGGUACUUAAGGGUUGUAGAUUACACUUGAUUUUUUAUAUUGUUUAAAGACACAGCAGAUAUAUUGAAUGUCUUGUGUUAGGUGUCUGGGCAAGCGAAAAAAACAGCCAACAAGUAUUGGUUGUGAAAUUUGGCAUGUGAUUGCUUGUUCAUCUUUUGUGUUGUUCUCUUUGUCAAACAAUAGAAAAUUAUUUGAGGGGCAAUAGGAAGCCACUUGAUAUUUUCAUGUUUGAUAAACACAGAAAAAAUGGGGAAGCAUUGUUUGGCAGCUCAUAAUUUCAUGUCAGCAUAGAUUGUUAGGCUUGUUUUCAGGCUAACAUGAGCAGUGCUUCCAGGACAUUUCAACAAUUAAGCUGUUUUUAAACAACUUCACUUUAUAAUGGUUUUCUGUCUUUAAACUUUUGAUGCAACCCUCGUCUGACCUUGUUUUGAAGUAUACAGAGUAUACAAAAGUGAUCAACAUAAGCAUAUUUUAUUUUUGUUAAAAUUUUUAUUUCUGUUGCGUUUAUGGCUCACACAAAAGAUUUUCUGAAGAAAUGCACAUCUAAGUCUAUAAGCCUUUUUGUUUUCUGAUUGUUGCCUAUAUGUAUACUGUAUUUCCUCCAAUCAAUUCCAAACCUUAAAUAGAUUCUGCAGCAGUCAAAUUUUAAGUUUAUGUGCACUAUUGAAUAGAGACUUAUGAUUUUUGACUAGUUAUUUUUUACGAAGUAUGUUUGUUAAUUUCUGGUUAUAAGGUAAAAACAUAUUUGUUCUCCUUCCAAAGAAAUCCUAAAGAUACAAAUAUCAUGCUUAUUGGAACUCUCUCAUAGUCUAAACAUUUGAUCAUUUAAAUGAUUUGCUCAAUGUUCUAUCAUGCAAAACUCAUUUAUCUCUUAGAUAUUUUCUUGUAUACUUGAUUUUUAUAAUUAAUUCCCUUUUGUCUUUGAUACCUCCAUCACUUUAACACCCUCCCCAACUUUUGGGGGAAAAUGCUUGUUGAGCGAAUGAAAUAUGGAAAUAUAUACAGUUCAUAAGCAUAUUUGCUUUUUUAACAUGGGAUUAUAAAAAUUCUCAAAUCUCUCUAUGAAUCUAUAUGUUCAGAAUAGAUUUAGAUAAAGAACUGAAUAGAUGACAGAAGCCUAAUUAAUGCUUUGCCCAAAAAACUGAAAUCUAAGAUUUCAUUUGCUGUGAAUGUGAGAGCAAAAGUGAGAUGGUCACAAUUUAUGCAAGUUCAUUGAUGUCACUGAAACAUCAUCCUCCUUGAAGCAUGUUUAUUUUUUUCAAAAAAUGAAUGAAGAUGUAAUUAAUGUGACAUAUCAUGUUAUGCAAAACUUUUUGAAAGCCAAAUAUUUAUCAAAACUUUGCCUGCAUUUUCAGUAAAGAAAAUCCUUUCUAUUGAACUGAACAGGUUAUAAUUUUGAGAUCCUUACUUUUCUAUAUGUUUUCUUGAAUUCUCCAGAUAGCAUUUUUAAUACUUGCAUAAUCAGUAAUUCUAUUCAUUCUAUCCCUUAAUAUCCAUUCAUUCUAUCUCUUUACUUAUUCUUUCACCUUUUGCUCUUUUUAUUCAUUUUUGCUCUUUCAUGCAUGGUCAGAAAAGGUACACCUCCCUGAGCUGUGAAUAGGCAGGAAUUUACCUCAUUUUGAAAGAUAGGAGAUCACAUUCUCCUUGUGGUCCCCAAUUCCCAUAUCUGUGUAUCCUUGUGUUAUGUUGCACCUACAAGGUUGCCCUAAUAAGUUACAAGGAACACUUUAAACGCAUCAAUUGCCCAAAUAAGUAAAACUGAAUUGCUUUGAUUAAUAACAUUGCAGCUUCUUACAUAUGAAAUGAAGUAUAAGCCCAAAUAAUGUGUCUGGUUUUGAUGAGUAUUAUUGCUGGAAAUGUCAUUGCUACAUUCUAAAUAAUUGAUGAAAUGUUUGAUUUGAAUAAUGGACAUCUAGUGUGUCAAUUUUGAAAACAAAAAAGAUUUAUCUUCUUGCUGAAUUUCACAUACUCAAGAAUGUUAUACUUAAGUAUACAAGCCAGCAGGUGUUACAGUUUUCUAUGAAUUAUGCAAAGGCUUAAAUCAGAUACCCUCAUACCAAAUGUAUGGGCUGAUAAAGAUUAGUCCCUGCUGCAUUUGGUAUGGUCCAGCUGUAACAAGUCUCUCCCCAAAACAAGUGUGACUCACUUCUUAUGAUGUCUGAUGUUUCAUAACUGUGUUCGUUUCUUUGUUUGCUUUUUGUUUAUUGACUGAAAAUUCUCAUAAUCAUAUUUUAAACUGCAAAAUUUUGUCAUAUGAUUAUGCAAUGACUAAAUCAGGCCAUGCUUGAUUUCCUUCAUAAUUAAGCAUAAAUUUUGGAAAUGAUAAUCAUAUAUGUUAGACAUUUACAUUACCAAAUAAGCCUUUGGCACAUUUACAUUAGCAAGAAGGUUGGGACCCAGGUCCCACUAGGGCUUUGAAUUGUAGCUUCAUGUUUUCGAUCACAGUUAGUAGGGACCUUAUUUGUGCCCCAUUUAUGUAUCUGCUUGAAGCCAUCAUUCUAUGGAUGUGACAGAUUUUGAUGACAAUCUAUCGACCCAGUCAUUAACAUGGAUUUAUUGAGCCAGUAAAUGUGUUGCCUUCUGCAAUAUAUAAUAAGCCAAUUGUCGAUUCUUGGAGCAACAAGGUUUCUAAUUCUUUUUAACGGAUCGUCUUGCACUCGUCUUUCACAGCUCAAGCAGGGUAUUUUCAACUUUUCUUACAAUCUUACUGUAUCCAUAUUCGCUACUUUGCCGCGUACACUACUGAAUUCCGAAUUAUAAAUGGCUCUUUGUUUUUUGUGGGUCUAUUUAUGGUGAAAACAGUUACUUUGAUUGUUUAGGGUUCUAUUCUAGUCCAAGAACAAACGCUUGCAGCUUUGAAGUUCAGACACUGGCGAAAACGCAUAAAUCAUGGCGCCAAUGAGAAUCUCUGUAUCCAAAUCGGAGUUGCUUUGGCAUUGUUUUGUGUUUUGUUUUCUUUAUGUGUAUUACUAUAGAAAAGUUUCAAUCCCGUCGCUGGAAACAUCAGGGAUGAGAAGAAACCAGAGGAGGUGCGAAGCUAGGCGGCGCAUGCGCAUUUCGAUGUUUUUCCUGAAGAAGCUCAUGGCCGACAUUUGCGAAAUUUGCGGUACAAUUUCAAACGGCCUGGGGCACAAAUGAAUAUAUAUCCUAAUGGUGCAAAAUGAAUCAAGACAUGUGAAAAACACAGGCACUCUAAAAAAGGAGAGAAUUUCCUUUGCUACGUUGAAAACCCAUUUCAGAAGCACUCAUCACAGCAGAUAAAGCAUGUCCAGCAAGCAAGACCCUCCAGACCAGGCAGACUUAACAAAAAAUACUUAGAGAAAACAACUUAUAUAAUUAGAAAAAGCUGGUCGAACUCCUAUUAUACCUAUGCCUUGCAGUGAUACACUGUUUGAUGUAAUUGCUCACUGGCCUCAGACAGCAGAGAAGAAACAUGGAUGUUGAUGUCAUUGUGCUAAUGGAUAUUCAAAGAUAUAUUGCAGCAAGUGUCAAGUUUGCCUAUGUCUGAGAUGUUGGAGAAUUGUUUUGCUAACUAUUAUGCAAAUAAAACUUUUAUCAUGAAGCAUAUAUAUACUUCUUUUCAAAUAAUAUGCAAAGCACUUUAUUAUAAACAGAACAAAAUGCAACUAAUAAAAUAUGAAAGUUUUCAAUUUAUGUUAAUGUCACAAGUGUAGAUACAUGUAUUCCUACUGUUGAUUUUUGAUUGAUGGAAUGUCUUCCAGUG